ensembl:snRNA U6 U6 spliceosomal RNA
GUGCUCACUUCGGCAGCACAUAUACUAAAAUUGGAACGAUACAGAGAAGAUUAGCGUGGCCCCUGCGCAAGGAUGACAUGCAAAUUCAUGAAGCGUUCCAUAUUUAA